UACGAAGGGGGCUAGCGUUGCUCGGAAUUACUGGGCGUAAAGGGCGCGUAGGCGGCGCUGCUAGUCAGGCGUGAAAUUCCUGGGCUUAACCUGGGGACUGCGCUUGAUACGGCAGUGCUAGAGGACGGAAGAGGGUCGUGGAAUUCCCAGUGUAGAGGUGAAAUUCGUAGAUAUUGGGAAGAACACCGGUGGCGAAGGCGGCGACCUGGUCCAUUACUGACGCUGAGGCGCGACAGCGUGGGGAGCAAACAGG
rnacentral:rRNA from 1 species